GACGAACGCUGGCGGCGUGCCUAAUACAUGCAAGUAGAACGCACAGUUUAUACCGUAGCUUGCUACACCAUAGACUGUGAGUUGCGAACGGGUGAGUAACGCGUAGGUAACCUGCCUGGUAGCUGGGGAUAACUAUUGUAAACUAUAGCUAAUACCGCAUAAUAUUAAUUAUUGCAUGAUAAUUAAUUGAAAGGUGCAAUUGCACCACUACCAGAUGGACCUGCUUUGUAUUAGCUAGUAGGUGAGGUAACGGCUCACCUAGGCGACGAUACAUAGCCGACCUGAGAGGGUGAUCUGCCAAAAUGGGACUGAGACACGGCCCAGACUCCUACGGGAGGCAGCAGUAGGGAAUCUUCGGCAAUGGACGAAAGUCUGAACGAGCAACGCCGCGUGAGUGAAGAAGGUUUUCGGAUCGUAAAGCUCUGUUGUAAGAGAAGAACGGGUGUGAGAGUGGAAAGUUCACACUGUGACGGUAUCUUACCAGAAAGGGACGGCUAACUACGUG
rnacentral:rRNA from 1 species